rnacentral:rRNA from 1 species
AGGAGUUCACACCUGUUCCCAUGCCGAACACAGAAGUUAAGCUCCUUA